rnacentral:rRNA from 1 species
AGAGUUUGAUCAUGGCUCAGGACGAACGCUGGCGGCGUGCCUAACACAUGCAAGUCGAGCGGGGUUAUUGGGGUUCAGCUUGCUGAACGCCACUGACCCAGCGGCGGACGGGUGAGUAACGCGUGAGCAAUCUGCCUCAUACAGGGGGAUAACAGGCGGAAACGCCUGCUAAUACCGCAUAAGACCACGCCACCGCAUGGUGGAGCGGUCAAAGGGUGCACAGACGAGAGGCUGUGCAUACCGGUAUGAGAUGAGCUCGCGUCCCAUUAGCUUGUUGGUGAGGUAACGGCUCACCAAGGCGACGAUGGGUAGCCGACCUGAGAGGGUGAUCGGCCACACUGGGACUGAGACACGGCCCAGACUCCUACGGGAGGCAGCAGUGGGGAAUAUUGCGCAAUGGGGGGAACCCUGACGCAGCAACGCCGCGUGAGCGAAGAAGGCCUUCGGGUCGUAAAGCUCUGUCAUAGGGGAAGAGGAGAAGACGGUACCCUAUGAGGAAGCCCCGGCUAACUACGUGCCAGCAGCCGCGGUAAU